GGUCCUGUGGUCUAGGGGUUAUGACGUCGGAUUUUGAAGACCCCGGUAGCUAAAACUUCCGGGAUAACCACGAAUUUCCGUAGAUCGUGGGUUCGAUUCCCACCAGGACCU
rnacentral:tRNA from 1 species